rnacentral:rRNA from 1 species
UGGGGAAUAUUGCACAAUGGGGGAAACCCUGAUGCAGCGACGCCGCGUGAACGACGAAGGUAUUCGUAUCGUAAAGUUCUGUCCUAUGGGAAGAUAAUGACAGUACCAUAGAAGAAAGCUCCGGCUAAAUACGUGCCAGCAGCCGCGGUAAUACGUAUGGAGCGAGCGUUGUCCGGAAUUAUUGGGCGUAAAGGGUACGCAGGCGGUUUAAUAAGUCGAAUGUUAAAGAUCGGGGCUCAACCCCGUAAAGCAUUGGAAACUGAUAAACUUGAGUAGUGGAGAGGAAAGUGGAAUUCCUAGUGUAGUGGUGAAAUACGUAGAUAUUAGGAGGAAUACCAGUAGCGAAGGCGACUUUCUGGACACAAACUGACGCUGAGGUACGAAAGCGUGGGGAGCAAACAGG